AUGCAUGUCUAAGUACAAGCCUCACUAAGGUGAAACCGCGAAUGGCUCAUUAUAUCACACCUAAUCUACUGGAUAGUUAACAGUUACUUGGAUAACUGCGGUAAUUCUGGAGCUAAUACAUGCACAAAGCCCCAAACUUACGUGAGGGGCGCUUUUAUUAGAUCAAAACCAAUCGGCUUCGGCUGAACUCUUGGUGACUCUGAAUAACUUUGGGCUGAUCGCAUAGCCUAGCGCUGGCGACAUAUCCUCCGAAGGUGUGCCCUAUCAACUGUCGACUGUGGCAUAGACGCCCACAGUGGUUUUGACGGGUAACGGGGAAUCAGGGUUCGAUUCCGGAGAGGGAGCCUUAAAAACGGCUACCACAUCUAAGGAAGGCAGCAGGCACGCAAAUUACCCAAUGACCGAAGGUCGAGGUAGUGACGAAAAAUAACGAUACAGGACUCAUCUGAGGCCCUGUAAUCGGAAUGAGUACACUUUAAAACCGUCCCCGAGGAUCUAUUGGAGGGCAAGUCUGGUGCCAGCAGCCGCGGUAAUUCCAGCUCCAAUAGCGUAUAUUAAAGUUGUUGUGGUUAAAAAGCUCGUAGUUGGAUCUCGGCGGUCUGAGGGCGGUGGUCUUCAGAGAUCUACUGCCCUAUAGACCGUAGUUUUGCCAGAGGUCUCAGGGUGCUCUUAACCGAGUGUCUUGCGAUGCUGGCAGGUUUACUUUGAAAAAAUUAGAGUGCUCAAAGCAGGCUUUUACGCCUGAAUAUUCGUGCAUGGAAUAAUAGAAUAGGAAGUCGUUUCUAUUUUGUUGGUUUUCGG
rnacentral:rRNA from 1 species